UACGUAGGGUGCAAGCGUUGUCCGGAAUUAUUGGGCGUAAAGAGCUCGUAGGCGGUUUGUCGCGUCUGCUGUGAAAACCCGAGGCUCAACCUCGGGCCUGCAGUGGGUACGGGCAGACUAGAGUGCGGUAGGGGAGAUUGGAAUUCCUGGUGUAGCGGUGGAAUGCGCAGAUAUCGAGGAGGAACACCUGCGGCGAAGGCGGGUUGCUGGGCUGACACUGACGCUGAAGUGCGAAAGCUAGGGGAGCGAACGGG
rnacentral:rRNA from 1 species